AUGACUUGCUCUCCAUGCAACGGAACAGGAGAGACUUCAAAGCCAUGCAACGCUUGCUCAGGAGAUGGACGUGUGAGAAGGACGAAAAGGAUUAGUCUCAAAGUUCCUGCAGGUGUGGAUUCAGGUAGUAGGUUAAGAGUAAGAGGAGAAGGGAACGCAGGGAAGAGAGGAGGAUCACCUGGAGAUCUUUUUGCGGUUAUUGAGGUGAUUCCGGAUCCGAUUCUGAAGCGGGAUGAUACGAAUAUUCUUUAUACGUGUAAGAUAUCGUAUGUAGAUGCGAUCUUG
rnacentral:lncRNA from 1 species